rnacentral:rRNA from 1 species
UCGACGAGUUUGAUCAUGGCUCAGGAUGAACGCUAGCGGCAGGCCUAACACAUGCAAGUCGAGGGGCAGUCCCGCAGUAAUGCGGGAGCGACCGGCGCACGGGUGAGUAACGCGUAUGCAACCUACCCUUAACUGGGGAAUAGCCCGAAGAAAUUCGGAUUAAUGUCCCAUAAUAUUAUUUUAUCGCAUGAUAAAAUUGUAAAAGCUCCGGCGGUUAAGGAUGGGCAUGCGUGACAUUAGCUGGUUGGUGAGGUAACGGCCCACCAAGGCUACGAUGUCUAGGGGGCCUGAGAGGGUAGUCCCCCACACUGGUACUGAGACACGGACCAGACUCCUACGGGAGGCAGCAGUGAGGAAUAUUGCGCAAUGGAGGCAACUCUGACGCAGCCAUGCCGCGUGCAGGAAGACGGUCCUAUGGAUUGUAAACUGCUUUUAUACGGGAAUAAUUCCCUCUACGUGUAGGGGUUGAAUGUACCGUAAGAAUAAGCAUCGGCUAACUCCGAG